rnacentral:rRNA from 1 species
AAAACUUCCAACAACGGAUCUCUUGGUUCUCGCAUCGAUAAACAACGCAGCGA